rnacentral:rRNA from 1 species
UUGAACGCUGGCGGAAUGCUUUACACAUGCAAGUCGGGCGGCAGCGCGGGGGCAACCCUGGCGGCGAGCGGCGAACGGGUGAGUAACAUAUCGGAACGUACCCAGACGUGGGGGACAACUAGUCGAAAGACUAGCUAAUACCGCAUACGUCCUGAGGGAGAAAGCGGGGGAUCGCAAGACCUCGCGCGUUUGGAGCGGCCGAUAUCUGAUUAGCUAGUUGGUGGGGUAAAGGCCCACCAAGGCGACGAUCCGUAGCUGGUCUGAGAGGAUGAUCAGCCACACUGGGACUGAGACACGGCCCAGACUCCUACGGGAGGCAGCAGUGGGGAAUUUUGGACAAUGGGGGAAACCCUGAUCCAGCCAUUCCGCGUGAGUGAAGAAGGCCUUCGGGUUGUAAAGCUCUUUCGGCAGGGAAGAAACGGCAGGCUCUAACAUAGCCUGCUAAUGACGGUACCUGAAGAAGAAGCACCGGCUAACUACGU